CAGCUAUCCUGCCCCGAUGAAUAGUAUGUGACCGGAAACAAGGAAGUGAUAAAACGUCUGGAAUGGCUGCAUCUGCUGGCAGGAGAAGGUACCUCUAAGUGCCAGACCACUUCGAGUCUAUUAGAAAAUGGAUUGUCCUUGGGAAAAGUGUACAGUGCAGUGUUCUGGCUGGAGCUAAGGGAACACAUUAGGUAUGUUCAUCCCCACUGAA
rnacentral:lncRNA from 1 species